rnacentral:rRNA from 1 species
CGUGUAGGCGGUCGGGUAAGUCAGAUGUGAAAGCCUUCUGCUUAACAGAAGAAGUGCAUUUGAAACUGCUCGGCUGGAGUACGGGAGAGGAGAGUGGAAUUCCCGGUGUAGAGGUGAAAUUCGUAGAUAUCGGGAGGAACACCAGUGGCGAAGGCGGCUCUCUGGUCCGAUACUGACGCUGAGACGCGAAAGCGUGGGGAGCAAACAGGAUUAGAUACCCUGGUAGUCCACGCCGUAAACGAUGGGCACUAGGUGUAGGAGGUAUUGACCCCUUCUGUGCCGAAGCUAACGCAUUAAGUGCCCCGCCUGGGGAGUACGGCCGCAAGGCUAAA